rnacentral:rRNA from 1 species
CUGCCCUUGACUUUGGGAUAACUUCAGGAAACUGGGGCUAAUACCGGAUAGGAGCUCCUGCUGCAUGGUGGGGGUUGGAAAGUUUCGGCGGUUGGGGAUGGACUCGCGGCUUAUCAGCUUGUUGGUGGGGUAGUGGCUUACCAAGGCUUUGACGGGUAGCCGGCCUGAGAGGGUGACCGGCCACAUUGGGACUGAGAUACGGCCCAG